rnacentral:tRNA from 1 species
GGCUUUAUAUUCAAUUAUGAUUUGGAUUUGCAAGUUCCAAGAUGUAUUAAAUAUACUAAGGCCU